rnacentral:tRNA from 1 species
GGUUAUGGCUUAGUGGUAGAGUGCUUGCCUCACAUGCAUGGGGCACUGGGUUCGAUCCUCAGCACCA